rnacentral:rRNA from 1 species
CCAGACUCCUACGGGAGGCAGCAGUGGGGAAUAUUGCACAAUGGGGGGAACCCUGAUGCAGCGACGCCGCGUGGGUGAAGGAGCACCUCGGUGCGUAAAGCCCUAUCGGCAGGGAAGAAACAGACGGUACCUGACUAAGAAGCCCCGGCUAACUACGUGCCAGCAGCCGCGGUAAUACGUAGGGGGCAAGCGUUAUCCGGAUUCACUGGGUGUAAAGGGAGCGUAGACGGCGACGCAAGUCUGGAGUGAAAGCCCGGGGCCCAACCCCGGGACUGCUCUGGAAACUGUGCUGCUGGAGUGCAGGAGAGGCAAGUGGAAUUCCUAGUGUAGCGGUGAAAUGCGUAGAUAUUAGGGGGAACACCAGUGGCGAAGGCGGCUUGCUGGACUGUAACUGACGUUGAGGCUCGAAAGCGUGGGGAGCAAACAGGAUUAGAUACCCCCGUAGGG